AGAGGGUGCAAGCGUUGUCCGGAAUCACUGGGCGUAAAGGGCGCGUAGGUGGCUUGGUAAGCGUGCGGUGAAAGCUCGGGGCUCAACCCCGAGUCUGCCAUGCGAACUGCCGAGCUUGAGCAUAGUAGAGGCAGGUGGAAUUCCGGGUGUAGCGGUGGAAUGCGUAGAUAUCCGGAAGAACACCGGUGGCGAAGGCGGCCUGCUGGGCUAUUGCUGACACUGAGGCGCGACAGCGUGGGGAGCAAACAGGAUUAGAUACCCUGGUAGUCCACGCCGUAAACGAUGGGCACUAGGUGCUUGGGGGAGCGACCCCCUGAGUGCCGUCGCUAACGCAUGAAGUGCCCCGCCUGGGGAGUACGACCGCAAGGUUG
rnacentral:rRNA from 1 species